UUGGGCAAUGGGCGAAAGCCUGACCCAGCGACGCCGCGUGGGGGAAGAAGGCCUUCGGGUCGUAAACCCCUGUUCUGGGGGAAGAACCCUGAGUGGGUUAAGAGCCCAUUCAGGCUGACGGUACCCCAGGAGCAAGCCACGGCUAACUGCGUGCCAGCAGCCGCGGUAAUACGCAGGUGGCGAGCGUUGCCCGGAAUCACUGGGCGUAAAGGGUGCGUAGGCGGCAGGGUAAGUCGCAGGUUAAAGCCCGGGGCUCAACCCCGGAAAGGCCUGCGAUACUGCCUUGCUUGAGGGCCGGAGAGGCUGGCGGAAUUCCCGGUGUAGGGGUGAAAUCCGUAGAUAUCGGGAGGAACACCGGUGGGGAAGCCGGCCAGCUGGACGGUCCCUGACGCUGAGGCACGAAAGCGUGGGGAGCAAACCGGAUUAGAUACCCGGGUAGUCCACGCCGUAAACGAUGGGUGCUAGGUCUGGGGAGGAAACUCUCUGGGCCGAAGCUAACGCGUUAAGCACCCCGCCUGGGGAGUAC
rnacentral:rRNA from 1 species